rnacentral:rRNA from 1 species
AUGUGCUCUUCGAUACCCUUCUCUGAGGCAAUCAAAAUCCUUAGCACUUCCCACAACAAAGCAAAUGAGGUCAGUAUGCUUGCUGCAUCGUCAAGUGGUGAAGCUGCUAUCACUUUCCCAGUGUCUGCUCAAAAAAUAUACUGUUCUGGUAUGCUAGAAGAACUGGAAGACUCUGCUUCUAAUACUGACAGUGAAUCCGCUGAACCUGAUGAGGAAAUGGUUACUGUUGAAGCUCCAAUAGCUAGUGGCUUGAAGAUAAUGGAAUUUAUGGAGAAAACCAAGGAAAGGGCUACACCCAAGAACAAGUGGGGCCCGGUGGUUGCUCCAAGACUGAGCUCCAGGGUCCACAACAGGCAAAAUAUCAUGGAGAAAGCUGCAUCUUACAAGAUGAAACAAAACCUGGAAAUCCCCCCUACAUUUAAAAGGCGUGCCGUGGACAAGCACCCGUGCAAUCUUGGCAAGGAUCAGCUCAUCGCUACAUCAAUGGAAGAUUCUCUGUGUGGGCGACCAAUCGGUGCUGCUGAGAAGAUGCAUUCAACUCCUGGAUCGGCGAAGAGGCGAGCUGCUCAGGAUUGCGUGGGCAUUGGGCUGAGAGCUUGCGUGAAGAGGACCCGAGACGAGGCGCUGAAGGCUCAUUCAGAGUGA